rnacentral:rRNA from 1 species
UACGUAGGUGGCAAGCGUUGUUCGGAAUUACUGGGCGUAAAGCGCGCGUAGGCGGCUCUUCAAGUCAGGCGUGAAAGCCCCGGGCUUAACUCGGGAACUGCGCUUGAUACUGGCGAGCUCGAGGGAGGUAGGGGUAUGUGGAACUUCCGGUGGAGCGGUGAAUGCGUUGAUAUCGGAAGGAACGCCGGUGGCGAAAGCGACGUACUGGACCUCUUCUGACGCUGAGGCGCGAAAGCUAGGGGAGCAAACGGG